rnacentral:lncRNA from 8 species
UAUUCAGCUGAGAUGCCGACAAGGCGCACCUGUCCAAAUCUGUGAAGUUGGUGGUCAAUCAAAGAACCAUGGCGACAACGAACCGGCAGCAGCAACACUCACUUCCAGGUUUUCCUGAUGACAGUCUUGUUGAAAGUAGCCCCAGUAGUGUGGAUAAGCUUGCAUUCAAAUACAUGGAGCUGUGUAAAGUGGAGUCCAGUACUGAUUCCGAGUCCGAUGUCAGUCCAAGGUGGUCUGAUACCAGCACCAUGGGAUGUGGAAGUAGUGCGCCAGAGAGCAGACAACCCAUUCAAAGGAUGCUAACAUGUUCACACAAGCCGGUGGGACGAUAUUCGUGGCUUUCUUUGUCCUUGGACCCAUAUGACGGGAGCUCAGAAGAUUCGGAUGAGUCUAACGCUGGCCCCAGGCGACCGAGGCAGGGGAGCUGCAGGUAUUGGGGCAGGAGCCAAAGAAGGAACAAUCACCCUCCCACUGUCAUCCUCAAAGAAGUGAUCAAAAGUGGUGGCCCAACGGAGCCUCAUCUCAUUGAUGUCCAGAUGAGAUCAGCAAGUGACUCUGAGCUUUGGACAUGCAGCCACAGCAAGGGGCGGGGCCCUGUGACAUCUGCAGACUCAGGAGUGCUCACUAUUAAAUCCUCACCUUGCACACCGGUGUUUCCCACUUUGGUGGGGGCAGCAACCUCUGUCCCCAAUGUCCGGAUACCAGAGAAAUCUCCCGACAAUACUAUCCCCCUCAGGGGUGUCUUCAAAAGGAAGUUAAGUCUUCCAGGAGCAGAGACACUACAAGAUUGUGGCCACAGGAAGAAGCAGUGUGUCACCAAAAUGGAGGCUGGGGAUUCUCCUCCUGAGGGGAGUUGGUCCAUGACCAGAAACACCCCCCUAGCCUAG